GCUAAUUAGAUUUUUGUGUGCAGUAGUGUGUUUUGAAAAUGUACUGGCUCGAAGCCUCAAGUCUUCUUUCAGAACUAAGAUGAGCUGGUUAGUCACCCAUUACAUGUUCUGCUCCUGCAUCCCACUUCCUUUACCAAUCCCAAUACCACACAACUCCCUCUCACAAAACAGAAGCAACCCCACACACUGUGUGCACGUGUACACACAAAAGCUACACUACCAGGGUUAAAUCUGAUUAUCUAAUUCAUAU
rnacentral:lncRNA from 1 species